AGCGAACGCUGGCGGCAGGCUUAACACGUGCAAGUCGAGCGGGCCCUUCGGGGUCAGCGGCAGACGGGUGAGUAACACGUGGGAACGUACCCUUUGGUUCGGAAUAACGCUGGGAAACUAGCGCUAAUACCGGAUACGCCCUUUUGGGGAAAGGCUUGCUGCCGAAGGAUCGGCCCGCGUCUGAUUAGCUAGUUGGUGGGGUAAUGGCCUACCAAGGCGACGAUCAGUAGCUGGUCUGAGAGGAUGAUCAGCCACACUGGGACUGAGACACGGCCCAGACUCCUACGGGAGGCAGCAGUGGGGAAUAUUGGACAAUGGGCGCAAGCCUGAUCCAGCCAUGCCGCGUGAGUGAUGAAGGCCUUAGGGUUGUAAAGCUCUUUUGUCCGGGACGAUAAUGACGGUACCGGAAGAAUAAGCCCCGGCUAACUUCGUG
rnacentral:rRNA from 1 species